CGACAUUGUUUUUUCCAACGAUUUACCUUCAAUUCGACGUCGAUUAUCGUCGACGCAAACAGUUUGACAGUUCUCUUCAGUUGAUCUUGUUCGGACUUGAUUGCAACUGAGUCGAACCCGUUGUUGUUAAUUUUAGGCUUUGGGAGGAUUUUGUACAGUUUAAAGAUUUCGGUCUUCGUGGCGGUAUAGGAGGAAGAAGAGGAGGAGGAGGACGGACAAUAUGGUAUACUCGGCCGGCAUUCCGGAAGACGGGACAGGAAAGAAUCAGAUUGCGAUCGAGGAACCAGUUGGUGUUUGGUGUUUUACUUUCCGCGGGAGGUUGCGACGCAUAUUUAAUGGAACUGGUGAGUCAUGUUUAAGAAACGAUGGAGGAGGUGUGCUGGAAUGUGAUUGGACGGUCGAAAUUAAAAUUAGGAUGAAUGGAACAUCCCAAAUUCUUAACUUUUCAAUCCAAUAAUUCCAAACUGAAAAA